AUGCAGGGGGAAGGGCCGGGAUAGCUCAGCUGGUAAAGCAAAGGACUGAAAAUCCUCG
rnacentral:tRNA from 1 species